GCUAGCGUAGCUUAAUUUUAAAGCAGGGCACUGAAGAUGCCAAGAUGAGUCUUAAAAAACUCCGCAAGC
rnacentral:tRNA from 1 species